CGGGGUGUAGCUCAGCAUGGAAGAGCAUCCGCGUCGGAAGCGGAGGGCCGUUGGUUCAAAUCCAGCCGCCCCGACCA
rnacentral:tRNA from 1 species